UACAGAGGUCUCAACCGUUGUUCGGAUUUAUUGGGCGUAAAGAGCGUGUAGGCGGCCAGGUAGGUCUGCUGUGAAAACUCGAGGCUCAACCUCGAGACGUCGGCGGAAACCAUCUGGCUAGAGUCCGGAAGAGGAGAGUGGAAUUCCCGGUGUAGCGGUGAAAGUGCGCAGAUAUCGGGAAGAACACCCGUGGCGAAGGCGGCUACUCGUGGGACGGUACUGACGCUGAGACGCGAAAGCGUGGGGAGCGAACAGG
rnacentral:rRNA from 1 species